AGUCAAGCAGAGGAAGAGGAUGAAUCCCAAAAGGUCAUCAGCAAAGCCACUAUGGAGAAUACAGCAUGAAAACCUGAAAUGCAUUAAGCAGGAAGGCACUCUCCUUCAGCUGGUGGGGGUAAAACCUCUCAUCUUCAAUAAUGAAUUUUGACACAAUUAGUAUGCCAUUUCAAUUAUACAAUUGUAACAAUGGCUGGAGAGGACUCCUGGACUGGAAAAGGAUGGAUUUAAUUUCUGGGGAAUACUGCAAGCCAACAUCGAAGAAGGUCUCAAGAUGGAGAAACACAAACUUGAAAAAACGGAAGAUUCUGAGGCGAAGGAGUCUCAAACAGGAGAACAAACAGACUGAGGUCUUCACCGCCCUGUUUGAUCCAAAACACCAUGAGCAUCUUUUCAGCAAAGUAUGCUUCCCUCUCGCACAUAACAAUCAAGAAUCCUGAUGUCAUUUACCUCUAUGAAGGCCGAACGAACCAGCGCAGCUGUCAGAUUCUUCGCAGAUUUACAGUAAGCCUCCACCAUUAAAACCUGAUUAUUACCAGAUGUUUUCCCCCCUUUUUCCUCCCAGUCUUAGGGUACAAAAUGAUUUUUUUCUAGUUCUUUCUUUCAUGGAAGAAAAAAGCUAAGAGAAUGAGAUCAGUGGAAAAAGCUUGCUGAGCUCUGGCCAAACAUUAGACUCCUGUAAAUAGAAUUUUCAAGGAGAAAUGAAUCCCUUCUUUUGGGGGAAAAACACACCCAUUCCCCUUCAGUUGCCACCAGGCAACUAUUUUGAUCCAAAACAUACAGUAAACAUCCCAUUUCACACUUUCACCCUCCCUCUCUGAAGCAUAAUCAUGAUAUUACCACAUUUUUUGCACAUACAGUAGUAUCUUAUAAUACCUUGUAAACAUUAUUUAGUACCAUGGUACCACCACAGUACUUUUUUUUGUAAAGAGCCAUGACUAGGUUUGCCCAAAGACCACCCUGAUCUCCCUUAUGUGACGUUCCAGCUCAUG